GGGCACAUGGUGUAGUUGGUUAUCACGCCCGCUUAGCAUUUCAAUGUCUGCGGGCGGUGCCCGGUUCAAUUCCGGGUGUGUCCA